GAAUGACUCACCAUCAGUUCACACUUCCCUGGGACCACAUGCUACCCAAGCCUAGGAGCUGAAGGGGCUGAUAAGGAAGGAUGGGAAGAUGCAUGGAGCAGAUCUGAAUCUACUGACAGCCUGAAGAAGAGCAGCAGCCAUCCCACUGCACCAACAAGCAACAUCAAUAAUAAAGUUGUUGGAAAGUA